rnacentral:rRNA from 1 species
GACGAACGCUGGCGGCGUGCUUAACACAUGCAAGUCGAACGGUGAAGCCCUUCGGGGUGGAUCAGUGGCGAACGGGUGAGUAACACGUGAGCAACCUGCCCCUGGCUCUGGGACAACCACUGGAAACGGCGGCUAAUACCGGAUACGACCCGCCUCGGCAUCGAGUGUGGGUGGAAAGUUUUUCGGCUGGGGAUGGGCUCGCGGCCUAUCAGCUUGUUGGUGAGGUGAAGGCUCACCAAGGCGACGACGGGUAGCCGGCCUGAGAGGGCGACCGGCCACACUGGGACUGAGACACGGCCCAGACUCCUACGGGAGGCAGCAGUGGGGAAUAUUGCACAAUGGGCGAAAGCCUGAUGCAGCGACGCCGCGUGAGGGAUGACGGCCUUCGGGUUGUAAACCUCUUUCAGCUCCGAAGAAGCGAAAGUGACGGUAGGAGCAGAAGAAGCACCGGCUAACUACGU